AUUCCGCGUUUGCCACGAGGGGCAGUGUUAGAUCAGUGGUCCUCAAAGUGGGGUCCCCGAAGCAGCAGCACCAGGUUCUCCUGGGAACUUGACGGAAAUGCACAUCCUCAGCCACAUCCUCUGAUCACAGAGGAGUCAACUGCUGGGGCCUGGGCUGGGCCGGCCCGACAGUGUCGUCUGCACCGCCCUCCAGGAGCUUCUGGUGCUCCUGCAGGUGUGAGAACGCAUGUCAGACGCCGGAGGCCACAGACAGAAUUCCAGUUACACAGCAGGCGUUGGAGCCCAUGGGCAUCGCCAUCCUGCCUUACACUGCUGGCCUCUUCUAUGCCCCCUCGAGGAUUGUGCCCCCACUUGUUCUCUCUGCCUGGACCCCUCCUGGCAUGCACCUUCCUAGUCCCUAUUCAGUGUCACCCCCUGAAGCCUGCCCUCAACCCCAGGACAGUGCAGCCCCGUCCACACUCCCCUUACCUCUUGUCCUGGACCCACACAGGCUCCGCAGCACCUGCUCCUGGCACGGCCCCACAGUUGCAGUACUUGGGCUGGAGCUGCCGCCAUGAGGUCCUCCUUCAAACACCCAGUUCCAGCGUUCCCCGGGAAGCUUCCCAUGCCAUCUUGUCACGUCUUGCACCCAGCACCGAGGGUGAGGCCCGGCAAAGCAGAGCUGCAGGGGCUCAGCUGUGUACACCACAGUUCUUGAGACGCCCACCUGUGUGUCCUCCCCGAUCCUGCUCCACAGGUCCAGGCCCAGGCCCAGAGGUAGCCCCUGCGUUCCCGUGGCUUCAGGCACACGUGUGCAGACAUGACGCCGAGAACACCGGCUUUGCCACCAAGGACAGAAGACAGUCUGCCCCACCCGGGGUCACCUGCAGGUCCUGCUCUGACCAGGGUCCAGGCCCUGAUUCCGGGGAUGCGACAGCACCCAGAAUGUCCUGCCUUGUGUGGCACGUGGGACCGGGGACUCGGGCCCCAGGGCUCCCAACCCUGGCUGUGGAGAGUGGGUGGCUCCGCUGCUGGUCGGGGGCACUGUGUGGGCAGACAGCGUGCCAGUGGCCACAGGAUGUCCUGACAGCAGAGGCGCUAAACACUCCAGGAGCGCCUCAGCCCCAAGCUCUGGUUCCACCCCUUGCGGGUGAGGGAGGCCCAAUGACAGCCAGACUCCAUCAGUUCAGAGGCAGGGGCUAGAGAUGGAUUUAAUUCAACUUAAAAAGAAAUACAAGAAUGGACCUUUUCUGCAGUCCUGAGGGAGUGGACAGGUUGCGUGCGUGCUCUGACGGUGGGAUCCAGACCCCCUCCUCUCCUGCGUUGAAGGUGCCACCGGGCCUCAUCCCCAGCCACAUCACAUCCUGAGCCUCUUACAGGCAGGCCCCGAGGUCCUUUCACCUUUCUCUUCUCUCCAGUGCUUGGUGCAUUUUCAAACUCAGUACCUUUCUUUUGAAUAAAUGAGCAAGAAUAAACCCGGUGCUGCUUGCCGAGCUCCUCUCCCUGGGCGGGGAACUAAAGCAAAACCACGCUGGAUGGGGUCCCAAACACCCUAAGAAGGCCGAGCUCCUGCCGCUCUCCAGCACGCGCACCGAAGACCGGAGGGAGGGUCUGUCGCUCUCCUGCAGGAGCACGAGUGGAGGGAGGGCCUGCGGCGCUCCAGCAGGAGCAUGAGGAGUGGAGGGAGGGCCUGUCACUCUCCAGCACGCACACCGAGGAGUGGAGGGAGAGCCUGUCGCUCUCCAGCAGAAGCACCAAGGAUUGGAGGGAGGGCCUGUCGCUCUCCAGCAGGAGCACGAGGAGUGGACUGCCGGCCCGUCACUCUCCAGCACGUGCACCACGGAGUGGAGAGAGAGCCUGUCACUCCAGAAGGAGCACCAGGAGUGGACUGCGGACCCGUCACUAUCCAGCACGUGCACCAAGGAGUGGAGGGAGGGCCCCUUGCUCUCCAGCAAAAGCACCAAGGAUCGGAAGUAGGGCCUGUCGCUCUCCAGCACGUCCCCCCCCGGCAGUGGAGGGAGGGCCCGUCGCUCUCCAGCAUGAGCACCCAGAGAUGGAGGAAGGGUCAGCCAUUUGUCAGGCUCUGCGUGUGAAAAGCUGUGAUUUCAUUUCUUAUCAGUUAUUACUGUCACUAUCACUCAGGAUGAAAUUGGCCUCACCCGCUCAGGAGCAAUGCUGCCUUCUCCCUGUCCUCCUCCUGGAUUGUUGAGGAAAAAGCCAGACUAACCUGUUCCACACCUUGGCAUCAGUUGCAUAAAUGCUAUCUCAGCAUGUUCUAGAACACAGUACUGUUUAAACAACGUUCUGGGGGUAACCAAGUUUAUAACUUGCAGACCCGAUGGCCGUAAAGCAUGGGGUGGGGGGGUGCCUGCCUGCAUUGCAGCUGUCAGAGCUGCACAGAGCCUGCGACACCCAGCCAUGGCUUCUGCCCACCAGGCCACGUCCCUCCGCUCCUCUGAAUCCUUCCAGUUCUUCUUAGGCCACUUAAACGCCACCGUCUCCACGAAGUCCUGUCGGAUCACCCUCAUAGGAAGUGACAAACCACGUUUUGAACCCCUCUCCCCACCCAGCAAGCCCCUAGCCCGCGAGCAUAGGAUUUCCUUUCUAGAACACGUGUUCUGUGAAGGGCCAGAGGCAAUAUUUGAGGCCUCGUGGGCCACAUGCUGUCCCUGUUGCAUAUCCUUUUUUUUGUUUGGUUUGGUAAACUGCUUAAGCUGGCAGAACAACAGAACCCGCACAUUCUCCACGCAGCCCAGCGCCCUUGGCCAUGCAGGGCUGUGCCUUCUGCCAGCUCUGGAGGCCCAGGGGCUGGCAUGGGCCUCCCGUCCUGAGCCCCCCAUGUACAUUGCACCCAUACUGGGAACGCCCCCAGGAUCUGCUGCGAGACCCCCAAGGACCAGCUUCUGCAGUCCUGGAAGGGCUCUCCUGACCCCCAAGUCCGCCAUCUUCUGAUGGUGGCAGGUGGGCACAGUCACUGGCUGAGCGACCAAGGGUCAGUGAGAUUACUAGGCCGGCGCUGCACCCAACUGAAAUGAACUCACGUGUCCUCACAACUCCUAGCAGCAGAUGCUGUCAGCCUCGCAUCCUACAGGAAAGGAACCAUCGCCAAAAGACGCUGAGGAACAUCCCGAGGGUCACAGGGACAGUGCAGAGCCAGGACCAGCCCGGCCCAUGGUCCCCCAGCGUGCACCACCUGGCCCGGCACUGUGUGCUCAGCCAUGAGGACUGGGAAGAGUCCUGCCCACAGCUCAAGUGUCUACACCGCACUGCCAUCCAGGCUGUGAGCCGCUGCUGAGCAUGGGGAAUGUGGCUGCUGCAGAGACGUUAUGAAACACUUCUAAAAGAAUGUAAAAGAUCUCAUUAAUAAUUUUGAGUACCUGUUAAAAUGAUAGUAAUUUUGGAUCUAGUAGAUUAAAUAAAACAUAUUAUUAAAAUUAA